rnacentral:rRNA from 1 species
ACAUGUGUACAACAUAGCGAUGAUGCACUAGAUCCCAUUAAAACUCUGCAGUUAAGCGUGCUCAAGAUAGAGUAGUAUUGGGAUGGGUGACCACCCAAGAAGUCCUAGUGUUUUACAUGCC